rnacentral:lncRNA from 1 species
UUUUUUUUUUUUUUUUUUUUUUUUUGUUAGGUUGCCUUUGACUCUUGGAGAAAGUGUUGUCAGCUCAGAUGAAACUCUGUAUGUAAUCCCCUCUCUCUUCCUCUGUUAGUUACCCUCUUAAAGAUUGCCCCACCCCUCACCAUUUCCCUAUUAUGCCCAGCUCUUGUUCCCCUCCCCCACACCCUGCCAAUGGUCAUUUUUUGUUUGUUAGUUUUCUGUUUGUUUUUUGAGGCAGGGUCUCUGUAGUCCUGUCUGUCCUCAGAUUCCCUAUGCUGAUCAGGCUAGCCUGAUGACAGACCCUCCUACCUGUGUAUUUUAAACACUGGGAUUAAAGGCGGCUUCAGUGGGUUCCUUUUUACUGUCCUGGUUUCUGAAGUUACUCCAGAAUAUACUCACAUGUGAAGAUUUGGAACCUGGCUUCUUUAGAGAUAAGAUUGCAGGUGUGUGUCACUGUUCCUGAUUUUUGUGUGGUACUGGGGAUAAAACCAGGGCCAGUUACAGUCUACUAAUCAGCCUGCCUUUUAAGUCUUAAUUGUAAAGUUUGAAGGGUGCCAGGAAGUUUUUGGGUUGUGAUUCCCAAGAGUGAAAAAGCAUAACCCAGAAACAAAAGCUUCGACGUAGAUUAGGUGCACCUAGUUGCAGCAGGACUUUACUGCAUGUGAACUGGGUUGGGUGGUUUGGGUUAAGGUUCAUGUCCAUCAACUGUCAAACAGUGGUUGAUCAGAGUCCAGUGCAUAACAUUGUACUUGGUUCCUAGCAAGAUCUGUGACAAGUGAGAAGUCAGGUUCUUUAUGCUUUUGGCCCCUCCCCCUCCCCCUCCCCCUCCCCCUCCCCUCCCCUCCCCUCUUCUCUUCUCUUCUUUCUUUUCUUUUCUUUUCUUUUCUUUUCUUUUCUUUUCUUUUCUUUUCUUUUCUUUUCACUCCAGACUGGAAUGUACAGGUCAGAGGACUACCUGUGAGAGAUCUCUCCUUUAAAUUGUGGGGGUCCAGAGGAUGGAAUGCAGGUUGUCAGGCUUGGUUGCAAGUGCCUUUAACUGCUGAGCCAUUCUGCCAGGUGCCAAGAACAUUGCAAAUGUGUGAAUCUUAGGGUUCUAGAAUUUCUGAAAGAAAUGAGAGGCCAUCCAGCCUCAGACAGCUUUCCUGAGUGAGUGAGGUGAGGAAGACAGUUGAAGGGUGGAGAACUAGGUAGUGGGCUGCCUGGGAGUUCCUGCUAGUGUGCUGCCACGAGUUGGCAGCCCUGCUCUAGGCUUUCACCUGUUUACUGAAUUUUCAAAUUUGGACUCAAUUGGAGUGUGUGGCUAUUGUAUUAAAAUGGCACUUCAAGGGCUGGACAGAAGACCCAGUGGUUAAGAACAUUGGCUGCUUGUGUAGAGGACCUGGGUUUGUUUUCUAGAACUCACAUGGCUGCUUAUAAUUUUCUGUAACUCCAGUUUCUGGGGAUCCAGUGUGCUGCUUCAGGCCCUGUGGGUAUCAAGCAUGAACAAGGUGCACAGACAUACAGGCCGGUGCUCAGCUACAUAGAACAUUUAAUAACAAAAAAACCCCAGCAACUUUAAAAUGGGAUUCCAGAUGUGUUGUUCCACAACAGGUGGAACAGAAAUGUAGAAUUCCUUGUUAUUUGUGAGAAACUCAAUCUUUCCCUUUAGAAGAAGCCUUCAGUUGUACAGGUUUAAGACUUGCAGGUUGAACUAACAGUGGGUAGAAAGGAUCGGGAGAAACUGUACCAGCAAGGACUGUGGGUCAUGUUUUUUUCCCCUUGUCAUUCUCUAAAUAAUACAGUUGUGUAUAUGUAACAUCUUCAAUUGACUAGAUAUUAAAUAAUAAAUGAGGUAUGUGGGUCAUGCAAAUACCAUAUAAGUGAUUUGAACAUCAUUGAAUUUUGGUUCUGAUGGAAUCUUGAACCAAUCCCCUAGAGUACAGAGGAACAAUGGUGUUAUUUAUUAUGAUUCAGUUCACUUGAAAAUAGUCCACAUUACAAAGGCACCAUUUGAUAGCAGGGUUUUAUGUUGUUUAAUGUGGGUUUUGUUUGUUUCUGCAGUGCUGGAAACUGAGUUGAGGGCUCAAAAACAAUAAGCAAGCAGACUGUAGUCCCCCCCCCCCCCCAGCUGAGGACCUCUGAGGCAAGCACUCUACCUCGACCUAAAUCUCCAACUCCUAAGCAAGCAUACUCUACUGCAAGCUAUAUUCCUAACCUGGUAGCUGAGUUUUGUGUACUGUAGCUUUUCCAAGGGAGAAGGUUGGUAAGGAAAAGACUUGUUGGACAAUUCCUGAAUUUUGACAGUGUAGCCCAGGCUAGCCUCAAGUAAGGAAGCUACUGCCUCAGCUGGGGUUACAGCUGUGAACCACCAGGCCUGCAAUAUCAUGUACCAAAUCUGACAGAGACACAUGGUAUUUAGAAAUAAAAGUGUUUAGAACUAUCUGAUGUUUAAACAUUUAUUUUCCGUGUGUGUGUGUGUGUGUGUGUGUGUGUGUCUGUUUGUGUGUUUGUCCCAGCACACAUGUUGUAGUGGUCAGAGGACAGAUUGUAGAAGUUGGGAUGGGAAGUUGUAUGGAUGCUGGGGAUUGAAUUCAAGUCUUAGGCUUGCAGCAAGUCCCUUUACCUUCUGAGCCUUCUGACAAAGCCCUGUUUUAACUUAUUUUUGGUAGUUUUUUCUGCAGUUAUAAACACCUAGCUACUUUAGAGAUGGGGAGAAUGAGAGCUGAUUGGGGUGUCAGUUGGCCAUGUUGAUCACAAGUCUGUGCCACCACUCCACACUUCUAGUGCUGCUCCUUUGCGUACCCUUGUCCUUCGGUGCGUCUGGGGUGGGGAGACAAGGUGUGCUCUACAGCCCUGGCUGAACUCACACCACAGCAUCCCACUGUCUCAGCCUCUGAAGAGUGAGUGCAGCCACACACCACUAGACCCGGAUAGGCUGUCUUUACUCUUCUGUUAUACAUUUGUUUUUGUUUAUUUAUAUAUUAGGGUCAAGGUCUCGCUCAGCUCUGGCUGCCCUGGAAUUCACUGUGUAGAGCAGGUGUCCGGCUUCCAUCUCCCUAGAGUUGGGAUCAAAUGCAUGUGGUUCUCCACCUGCCUUACCUAUUUGGUUUUGAGAAAACAGCAGUCUUGUCUUUUCUUUCCUCUUUGUGGGAUUCUCUCCUGGCCUGGUAGCACACAGCCACUGAGAUUUCCUGUCACACUAUAUUAGAUGGCGCCUUCACAGUCAGCUUGGCCUGUGUUUGAGUAGAAUUAUAAGAUUAUAUUUUAUGUACUCAUUAAUUUAAAUAAAAUAAAAAUUGAAUCUAAUAAAACAAUGUUUAAUCUUUGC